rnacentral:rRNA from 1 species
CCUACGGGGGGCAGCAGUGAGGAAUAUUGGUCAAUGGACGAGAGUCUGAACCAGCCAAGUAGCGUGAAGGAUGACUGCCCUAUGGGUUGUAAACUUCUUUUAUAUGGGAAUAAAAUGUUCCACGUGUGGGAUUUUGUAUGUACCAUAUGAAUAAGGAUCGGCUAACUCCGUGCCAGCAGCCGCGGUAAUAGGGAGGAUCCGAGCGUUAUCCGGAUUUAUUGGGUUUAAAGGGAGCGUAGGGUGAUUGUUAAGUGAGUUGUGAAAGUUUGCGGCUCAACCGUAAAAUUGCAGUGGAAACUGGCGGGCUGGAGUACGGUGGAGGUGGGCGGAAUGCGGGGUGUAGCGGUGAAAUGCUUAGAUAUGACGAAGAACUCCGAUUGCGAAGGCAGUUCACUGGAGUGCAACUGACACUGAGGCUCGAAAGUGUGGGUAUCAAACAGGAUUAGAUACCCUUGUAGUC